CUUUCCCACAUGAGAUAAACAUUUCACAUGGUCAUGGUGGCUCCAAUAAAUGAGGAUUACAAUAAAAAAAUAACUUUGUUAUGGAUUAAUCGAGCUUCCUGUAAUUCUGAAAUCAAAUGUGACAUACAAGUUCAGUUUAAUGUAAUGAUUAAUUAAUGUAAUUCUAGUUAUAGAGGCUUUCAUUAUACAUUAUACCUCCUUCAAGCCUCUCCUUAUCAGACGUCUAAAUGAUUUUGGUUUACUACUUUAACAUGCAAAUUACUAGAAAAUAAAGUGUUCAAAUAAUAGCUCUAAUAAAACUCUAUAAACACAAA
rnacentral:lncRNA from 1 species